rnacentral:rRNA from 1 species
UACAGAGGUCCCGAGCGUUAGGCGGAAUCACUGGGCUUAAAGCGUGUGUAGGUGGAUCGUUAAGUACCUUGUGAAAUCCCACGGCUUAACCGUGGAACUGCUUGGUAUACUGGCGGUCUUGAGCCAGCUAGGGGCUACCGGAACAGAUGGUGGAGCGGUGAAAUGCGUUGAUAUCAUCUGGAAUACCGGAGGCGAAGGCGGCUCACUGGGGGUUUUCUGACGCUGAGGAACGAAAGCCAGGGUAGCGAACGGG